rnacentral:lncRNA from 1 species
AAGGCCGCCAGGGGCAACGCCGCCAGGGGCAAGUAGACUGCCAAUGCUGGUGCUACAUGGAUUGUACAAUGUUCGGACUAGGCCUAGUACGGCUUAUUCUGGACUUAGCUACCGAGCAUUAGGAUGUUUGGACCCUGUGUAGACCACCUAGCGGUAGUAUGUUUGGACCCUGUGUAGACAUCCACUCCAGCAUGAGCGAGUGGCAUUUGAGGACUGCUGUGCUGCAUGCUGUGUAGACCACCUAGCGGUAGUAUGUUUGGACCCUGUGUAGACAUCCACUCCAGCAUGAGCGAGUGGCAUUUGAGGACUGCUGUGCAUGACAGUGAGACUGUGAUGGGCGACAGAGCGCCUUGGACUGUGAUGCACUUACUGUCAGAUCGUAGUUGCGUG